AGAAACCAACAGGGAUUGCCUCAGUAACGGCGAGUGAAGCGGCAAAAGCUCAAAUUUGAAAUCUAGCACUUUCAGUGUUCGAGUUGUAAUUUGAAGAAGGUAACUUUGGUUUUGGCUCUUGUCUAUGUUCCUUGGAACAGGACGUCACAGAGGGUGAGAAUCCCGUGCGAUGAGAUGCCCAAUUCCAUGUAAAGUGCUUUCGAAGAGUCGAGUUGUUUGGGAAUGCAGCUCUAAGUGGGUGGUAAAUUCCAUCUAAAGCUAAAUAUUGGCGAGAGACCGAUAGCGAACAAGUACAGUGAUGGAAAGAUGAAAAGAACUUUGAAAAGAGAGUGAAAAAGUACGUGAAAUUGUUGAAAGGGAAGGGCUUGAGAUCAGACUUGGUAUUUUGCGUUCCCUUCCUUUUUGGUUGGGUUCCUCGCAGUUUACUGGGCCAGCAUCGGUUUGGAUGGUAGGAUAAUGACAUUGGAAUGUAGCUUUACUUCGGUGAAGUGUUAUAGACUUUGUUGAUACUGCCUAUCUAGACCGAGGACUGCGUCUUUGACUAGGAUGCUGGCGUAAUGAUCUUAAGCCGCCCGUCU
rnacentral:rRNA from 1 species